GAGAAAUAGGUCGUGGAAAAGACGUGGAUUCCACGUGGUUUCGUGGACUUUUCGUGGUGGUGGAUACAUCCACGAGAUAUCCACCACUAUUUACCUUUCCAAAAAGAUGCAAAUAAAAUCAGAAGAAACCAUUUUUACAUCAACAUUUCUCACGAAAAGGGAUCUUUAUUGUUCUGAACGCCAUAUUUCAGUAUAUUGUCAAUUCGACGUGGAAUCCACGUCGAAUCGACGUGUAUCAGUUCGUCUGUCGUGUACACGUCGAUUCCACGUUGAUUUCACGUCGGUUGCCUCGAAACCCUUGAUUUAGUUGCUCGUACCAGUUCGUCUCAAAUACCUAUGCUUCUCACUUUAAAACAGCGCCAACGAAACUGUUAGACAUUUAUUCUGUGACAGAGCACACGCUUUUCAUUUGUCAUUUUCAUUGAAGAAUACUUAGAAAGUGUUCUUGACAGAACACCUUUCAAAAUAUUCCGCCACGACACCACAGAGAGUCUCGUUUCGAACGGAAAAAAGAAGGCACCGUACGUUGUUUACAUUCGAAAUGUCGUAUCGUGUCUGUGGUCUUCUACUACAAAAUAUUACUACAAAAAAUUAAACAAGCGUUUUGUCUUCUGUGGACGUUUAGUGAUAUAGAGGCACAAGAGCAUGCUUGAACCAGAACUGCUGCCGUUAAUCAAAGUCGGAAGGUGCUUUGGUAGAUUGCAAUAAGGAGGUAGCAGGGGUAGUACCUUCUGCUGAAGAAGUCAUUAAAAACUGGCUGAUGUAUGCAGGGAAAAGACUGUUUAUGGUUUUCUUUAAGUUGUGUUGCAUCUAGUCAUUGUUAUUUUUGUUUUAAAGAUUAGGAUUUAUUUCUUUGUGCUAUUGUUUUCAUGUUUC